GAAACCAUCAAGGAAAUCAAGCUGGACGGACCAGACCCAGACAAGACCACUUCAGCCUCAAGCAAGCUCACUUCAAGCCGAAACCAGGUAUUUUCAAUAUUUAUGAUUUGUGCAGGUAAGAAUGAGUUCUCCUAGUGGUUUAAGCUUCCCAAGAGACCAGGGAACGAGCCCCAGCAAGUGAGCAUCGUAGUUAGCUUGUUUUUGCUUAUUUUCCAUUUUUGUUGUUUAAGUACUUUCCUUUUCUUUUAAUUUCCAUUAAGUCCUGUUGCUGUGUCGUUUUUGGUUAUUUGAGUCGCCCUAGGGCUAGCUGACGAACCCCUUUAUAAGGUUCCCCUGCAGCUUUGUAACAUUCACGCUUUUUCUCAUAUCAAUAAAGUAGAACUUUCUUCCUCUCAAGCCGCCGCCUUGUAGAGACUUUUGCUUGUUCUUAGGUUGUGUGAUUCACCUAAGCUCGAGUGCCCUGCUGUAUCAGAGAUCCUUCCAUCAUCUCUGUGGUGCCAUCGAUCCACUUCACAUCCAUCCUUUGAUCUCACAAGAGAGAGCGUCACAGCCAGCUUGUUUGAUUCCGCAUCGACUUCAAGCCUCAUCCCUUUGAGUCUUGUCGUAUAAACUCACCCACAGAAACUUAAGAGAGUGCGCUACAGCCAGCUUAAGUUUCCCAUCGAUCCUCCUCGUAUUCACUCGUCCACGCUUCAAAACAUCAAGCUCGACCUAACGUCGAGAUAGCCGGUCGAGACCGCCACUCGCAGAUCCUCCUCGUAUUCACUCGUCCACGCUUCAAACCGGCAAGCUCGACCUAACGUCGAGACCGCCAGUCGAGUCCGCCACUCGAGCCAGUUCCUGCGCCUUUAUAAGUCUCUUAACCGAGUCUUAUAUCAUUUUGGUAUCAGAGCCUAAGGUUCCUACCUCAGGUUCUAUCCAUUCUAUCCCUUAGAAUUCAAUUAGCUUGUUUUAAAACUUUUGUUGCUUGUUUCUGCUUCUGUUUCAUUAUAAAAAGAAAAACCCCAUAAAAAGUUUCGUUUGAUUCUGUUUUCUAGGUUGUUAGUUUUGAUUAGUGCCUGUUUCAAGUCUUUUUAUUAAAACCAAAAAAAAAAAAAAAAAAAAAAAAAAAAAAUCAAAAGAAAUUGUUUACUUGUUCUUAUUUUGUUUUAUUUGUUUCUGUUUGCAUUUAGCACUUUUCAAUUCUGUGGUACCUUUAAUUUCUUGUUGUUUUUGUUGAGUGCAAGUGACAACAACGCCUAAGGAUUACUAUGGCUGACGGAGAUGAAGUCCCCCAGGAUGCUAUCAUGCAAAUGCUCACAGCUAUGAGAGAGGAGAUGAGAGGAAUUGGAGACCGGGUUGGAAGAUUGGAACAACCUCCACCACCUCAGCCUAGAGCUGGAGAGAGGAAUGUUCAAGCUAGGAGAAACAUCCGUGAAGAGGAUGAUGAGAUUCUGGACGUGGAGGAAGAUGACAUACCCCCUGAUCCUUUGUUGCGCCAACACCAACGAAGAGAAGACCCUCUGAGAAUGAAUCAAGCUAGACGAGUAGAACCUCGUGACACUUAUAAAGACCUGAAACUAACACCACCUACUUUUGCAGGAAAAUCUGAUCCAGAGGUCUACAUGGAUUGGGAGAGACGUCUAGAGCAUAUAUUUGAGUGUUAUAGCUAUGGAGAACGCAGGAAAGUAGCUGUUGCAGCCGCGCAGCUCACUGACAAUGCACUCGCAUGGUGGGACAGAAACGUGGCUGAGAGAAGGAGGCAACGUUUUGGACCAGUAGUGACAUGGAGUGACAUGAAAUACCUUCUACGGCUUAGGUAUGUUCCUGAACACUACCAUAGAGACUUACAAAAACGUUUUCGUAAGUUGUCUCAGGGAACCAGAAGCGUAGAUGAGUACUUUGAGGAAUUUGAGAAGCUUAUGAACUCCCUAGAGAUAGAGGAGUCUGAAGAAGCAUUGAUGGCCCAAUUCAUAGACGGCCUGCAAGAAAGAAUUCAAAGGAAGGUAGAGAGGGCGCAGUAUAGCGGGUUGCAUGAGCUGUUGCAUCUAGCUGUCCAAGUAGAACAACAGAUAAAGCGUAAGACGAACUUCACCAGUCGCAACAAGACAUCUCAAACAUGGGCGUCUAGCAGCUCAAAGCCUGUAGAUAAAGGGAAGAACGUGGAGAUUGAUUCUCGGUUCAAGAAGAACAAUGCUGAGACAUCCAAAACCAACAGACCUGAGCAAGGUAAGUUUCCCAAUAAUAACUCAAGAUCUCGUGAUAUAACUUGUUUUAAGUGUCAGGGAGGAGGACAUUACGCAAGAGACUGCCCCAACCAGAGAGCCAUGAUCAUCACUAAUAAUGGCGAGUAUGAGUCACAAGACGAGCUAGAUGAUGAAACCAUUGAGCGAAGUGAUGACAUUGAGUAUCCAGACAGUGGAGAAACUUUAGUGAUUCGGAGGGUACUUAGUGCAUUUGUGAAUCCUGAGGAGAAAGUACAAAGGGAAAACCUCUUUCACACAAGAUGCACAGUGAAAAACAAGGUAUGUAAUCUUAUCAUAGAUAGCGGGUCUUGUACUAAUGUUGCUAGCAAGCAUAUGGUGGACAGGUUAGGUUUUGAGAAGACUAGACAUCCUAGACCAUAUAGACUACGUUGGCUUAAUGAUCAAACCGAGCUAAAGAUAUCCGAGCAAGUGUCUAUACCGUUUAGUGUGGGCAAAUACCAAGAUGAAGUCACUUGUGACGUGGUACCAAUGCAAGCGGGACACCUUCUGCUAGGGAGGCCAUGGCAGUUUGACAGAGCCACACAACAUGAUGGACGAACAAACCACUACUCUCUUAUACAUAAUGGUCGUAAGUAUAACCUAGCACCUCUUAGUCCUUCUGAAGUUCAUGAACUUCAAAUUCGGAUGAACAAAGAGGUAGAAGUAAGAAAACCAACCCUUUAUUUAUCUUCUGGAGCUAUUUGUAAGACCAUUAGUGCCCAAGGCACUGUGCUACUAAUGAUGUUUAAAGAGUGUCUAAGCUCAGGUAUAAGUAAUCUGGAGAUUGCACCAACGGUUCAGCCCCUCCUCAACAAGUACAAGGAUCUAUUUCCCGAGGAGAUACCCCCUGGUUUACCCCCAAUUCGAGGCAUAGAGCACCAGAUUGAUCUUGUUCCAGGCUCAGCCUUACCCAACAAACCAGCAUAUCGGAUGAAUCCUGAAGAAAGCAAGGAAUUAGAAAGACAAGUAAGGGAGUUAAUGGAUAAGGGUUACAUUAGAGAGAGUUUGAGUCCGUGUGCUGUACCGGUACUCUUAGUUCCCAAGAAAGAUGGUACAUGGAGAAUGUGUGUGGACUGCCGCGCCAUCAACAACAUCACCAUCAAGUACAGACAUCCAAUCCCACGCUUAGAUGAUAUGCUAGACGAAUUAAGUGGUUCAACCAUUUUCUCCAAAAUUGAUCUGAAAAGUGGCUACCACCAAGUCAGAAUGCGUGAGGGAGAUGAAUGGAAAACCGCAUUCAAGACCAAGCAGGGUCUAUAUGAGUGGUUAGUUAUGCCCUUUGGCUUGACUAACGCACCGAGCACUUUCAUGCGACUAAUGAACCAGGUUCUUCGUUCUUAUAUCAGUAAAUUCGUAGUUGUUUACUUUGAUGAUAUUCUUAUCUACAGUAAGAACCUAAAUGAUCAUUUAGAACAUCUGGAACUAGUGCUUAAAACACUUCGAAAGGAAGGCCUAUAUGCUAACCUUAAGAAGUGCAUGUUUUGUACUAACCGUCUCAUUUUCUUAGGCUUUGUAGUGAGUGAACAGGGACUACAAGUCGAUGAAGAAAAGAUAAGAGCUAUCCAAGAAUGGCCUACUCCUACCACCAUUGGACAUGUGAGGAGCUUUCACGGCUUAGCAAGCUUCUAUAGGAGGUUUGUGAGAGAUUUUAGCACGGUGGCUGCACCACUCACGGCUGUGAUUAAGAAAAAUGCACCAUUCUCAUGGGGAGCAGCUCAAGAUACUGCGUUUAACACCCUCAAGGAUCGGCUCACACAUGCACCGGUUCUAGCUUUACCGGAUUUUGAAGAAAUGUUUGAGGUAGAGUGUGAUGCAUCAGGUUUGGGCAUUGGAGCGGUGCUGCAUCAAAGGAAGAGACCCGUGGCAUUUUUCAGUGAGAAGCUAAGCGGAGCCACAUUGAACUACCCUACUUAUGACAAGGAGUUGUACGCCUUGGUUCGUGCAUUGGAAACAUGGCAACACUACCUUCUGUCUAAGGAGUUCAUCAUUCACACCGAUCAUGAGACACUUAAGCAUCUACGAGGUCAGACUUCACUUAAGAGAAGACAUGCUAAGUGGCUGGAGUUCAUAGAAACGUUCCCAUAUGUUAUCAAAUAUAAGAAGGGAAAGGAGAACGUUGUAGCAGAUGCAUUGUCUAGGAGAUAUGCAUUGAUAUCAACAAUGGAGGCACGUGUAAUGGGUUUUGAACACAUCAAGGACCUCUACAAAGAUGAUCCAGACUUUAAGGAAGCUUAUGAAGCUUGUGGGAAGGGAGCUUAUGGAUCAUACUAUCUUCAUGAUGGGUUUCUGUUUCGUGACAAAAGGUUGUGUGUACCACAAGGAUCACUUAGAGAGUUACUGUUAAGAGAAGCUCAUGGUGGAGGCCUAAUGGGACAUUUUGGUGUUGACAAAACGUUAGCUGUAGUAGUUGACCAUUUCUUCUGGCCUCACCUCAAGAAAGACGUGGAGAAGCACUGCUCUCGUUGUGUCAUUUGUCACAGAGCUAAAUCCAGGUUACAUCCUCAUGGUCUUUAUUUACCUUUACCUAUACCUAACGCACCAUGGGUGGAUAUUUCUAUGGAUUUUGUCCUAGGACUACCAAAGAUAAGGCAUAAGGAUUCAGUUUUCGUAGUGGUGGAUCGGUUCUCAAAGAUGGCCCAUUUCAUACCAUGCGACAAGACCAAUGAUGCCACACAAAUCGCUGAUCUAUUCUUCAAAGAGGUGGUACGUUUACAUGGUAUACCUAGAACUAUUGUUUCUGACCGAGAUUCUAAGUUCCUAGGUCACUUUUGGAGAACUUUGUGGAGAAAGCUUGGAACCAAGCUGUUGUUCUCUACCACUUGUCAUCCUCAAACGGAUGGACAAACCGAAGUGGUAAGCCGUACCUUAUCUACUUUACUUCGAGUCACUCUUGGUAGAAAUCUGAAAACAUGGUUAGAUUGUUUGCCGUUUAUCGAAUUUGCUUAUAACCAUGCUACUCACUCGGCUACUAAGAUGUCUCCUUUUGAAGUUGUAUACGGAUUUAAUCCUUUGACGCCUUUGGACCUUUCACCGAUACCCCAAGCGGAGCAAAUCAAUUUAGAUGGUCUAAACAAAGGAGAGUUCGUGAAGAAGCUGCAUGAGAAGGUCCGAGACAACAUACUGAAGAAGACUGAAGAAUACAAGAAGAGGGCUGACAAAGGACGCAAGAAAUUGGUCUUUGAACCAGGAGAAUGGGUGUGGCUGCACAUGAGACCAGAGAGGUUCCCAAACCAAAGAAGCUCAAAGCUUUCACCUAGAGGAGAUGGCCCCUUCAAAGUGCUAGAGAAGAUCAACGACAAUGCCUACCGCUUGGAGCUGCCAAGUGAGUUCAAUAUGUCACAUAGUUUUAAUGUUGCUGAUCUAUCUCCUUUUGAUUCAGAUGAUCCAGUUUUGAGGACAAAACCUUCUGAAGAGGGUGGGAAUGAUGAGGUCAUCGACCUAAGCUGUGAAUCAAACCAAGACAAACCAAACAUUCCCGAAGUUAAGGAUGGGCCAAUGACUCGUUCUAAGGCAAGAAGGCUCAAGGAAGGGUUUAACAAGGCUGUAGAGACUCUACUCAGCACCAUGGAACUUGGAGAGAUGUCCAGAAUCACUCAAGUAUCUACGGUUUCUCAAGAAAGCUCAAGUGCACCCGAUGUGGACCUAACAGAGGACUUUGCACGUCUCAGCCUCAAGGAAGCAACUCCAACCGAAACCCAUUGUAAGUCUAUUUCAUUGGCAGGUGUAGGAGCUAAAAACAUCAAGAUUUCAACAAAGAAUACUUCAGAGCUGCAAGAUACGUCCAAGACAAGCAAUGGAACCAACAAGCUUCAAGUAGAACAAGAAGACAAGCUUGAAGGUAAUCACGUGGAAACUCUUGAAGAUCUUCAUCAAUUAGAGCUCAAAGGACUCCAAGAGGAGGAAACCAUCAAGGAAAUCAAGCUGGACGGACCAGACCCAGACAAGACCACUUCAGCCUCAAGCAAGCUCACUUCAAGCCGAAACCAGGUAUUUUCAAUAUUUAUGAUUUGUGCAGGUAAGAAUGAGUUCUCCUAGUGGUUUAAGCUUCCCAAGAGACCAGGGAACGAGCCCCAGCAAGUGAGCAUCGUAGUUAGCUUGUUUUUGCUUAUUUUCCAUUUUUGUUGUUUAAGUACUUUCCUUUUCUUUUAAUUUCCAUUAAGUCCUGUUGCUGUGUCGUUUUUGGUUAUUUGAGUCGCCCUAGGGCUAGCUGACGAACCCCUUUAU
rnacentral:lncRNA from 1 species